AUUAAAGCCAUGCAGAACACUAGCUCUGCAAAGUGGGCAAUUAGAAUGACAAGUAAACCAAGUGUCAAUACAGGUUGCAUGGAAGGCAUGGCCACAGUUUGGGAGCAAUCUCAGAGUUAGCAGACAUAUUUUCAAACUGAACUAUGCUUUCAAACCAGAAACUCGGGCAAUGCAUUCCUUCUUGAUGCAUGAUGUUUUCUCUUGGCAAUGCAUGCAUGAGUGACAAAUUUGGUCCAGAGGAAUUACAAACAUUAAAUUCAUGCAAAACACUAGUUCGGCAAACCGGGCAAUCAAAGUGACUACUAAACCAAGUGUCAAUGCAAGUUGCAUGGAAGACAUGGCCACAGUUUGGCAGUAAUCUCAGCCAUUCUCCUUCAAGGAAUUCACUCAAACACACUGAACACUCAGUGUUUCCAUGGUUCUUGCCACCUUUGAUCUCCCCACAAAACAGAACAGAUGGAAGUGAGUGAAUGAAAGCAGAGGCCAAACCAAUGCUCUCUGAGUUUGUCAAAGAAGAAAGGCCACUGAUCUCUGAUUAAAUUGAAAGAUUCAUGCAAAACAGUAUCAGCUUGAUGAUGAUAACUUGAUCUUCUUUCUGAAGAUUUGGGUUGGAUCUUGAUAUAAAUUCAAGCAGGCUUCUUUAAUUGUUUGGUAGAAAGGGAUGAGAAGAAAAAAGACAGCUGCAUGGGUAAUGAUGACCAAGAACAGGAUCCAAUUUUCAUGAACAACAACAGCAAUUGAACUAGAACUCAUAUCCUUUGUUCAAUGAUUUGUUAUCAGAAAUCCAAGAGAAGGUUUGUAGAAGAUCAAAUGGGGAUGCAAAUGGACAAGAUUAUGCGUCGAUUAGAUCAAUGUCGAUGUCAUUGCUGAUGAUUCCUAAGAUUAUUAAUUCCAAUAAAUUUUGGUGUCAUUAAUUGGACCAGCAAAUAGUCUCCAUCUCAGUGGUAUUCAGUCUAGAGUUCUUGACUUCAAACUGGUGGAAGAUACCGACCAAAACCACUGACAAACUGUUCUCAAUUCCAUGAAAGAUAUUCAUUAGUGAAUCUUUUUUAUUCCAA